AUUAUUUUGAGUAUACCUACUAUAUCAAGAUCAAUUGUAAAUAUUGCUGGGCUACAAAUUUUGCAAAUGGAGACGGAUCCGAUUUUUACAUCCGUUCCGUCAAAAGUCAAUCUCAUUAAAAAUGAUAUAUACGUUCAUAGUGCGUCCGUUCCGAUACCUUCCGUCUUGAAAACGGAUCCGGCAAAUUUUGAAGUCAAAACAUUUUGACUUUUUGAUCCGGCAAAUUUUAUAAAGCGUUAUAACGUUACUUAUAAUUUUUUUAUAGUUAUAAAUUAUGGAUAAAUCUAGGUUUACAAUUUGGUGAAUCAGCUUGUUCAUGUUAAAAAUGAAAAUUAAUGUGUUAGAUUUAAUUGAAGCUGUAAGAGGAUCUAAAUUUAUAUAUGAUAAAUUUGAUGAAAGUUACAAGGAUUCACGCAAAAAAUCAGAAUUUUGGAUAAAUUUAGACCUACAAUUUGGUGAAUCAGGUGAUUUUGCUAAAUUUAUAGAUGAAGAAUUGUCAUCUUUACCACAGGAUCACAAAGAUAAAGUGAAAAUGAACAUUAUGCAAAUGAUUUUUUUAUAUAAAAG